rnacentral:rRNA from 1 species
UACGUAGGGUGCGAGCGUUGUCCGGAAUUAUUGGGCGUAAAGGGCUCGUAGGCGGUUUGUCGCGUCGGGAGUGAAAACCCAGGGCUUAACUCUGGGCUUGCUUUCGAUACGGGCAGACUAGAGGCAUGCAGGGGAGAACGGAAUUCCUGGUGUAGCGGUGAAAUGCGCAGAUAUCAGGAGGAACACCGAUGGCGAAGGCAGGUCUCUGGGCAUUAACUGACGCUGAGGAGCGAAAGCAUGGGGAGCGAACAGG